AUGGCCCUGAAUUAAGGCCGGGAGUUUUCUGAAGUUGCUGGUUUCAAGCAGAAACUUAAAGUGGUAUGUUUCUGGGGUCAGCUGGCUAUUUCAGAACUUUAGAAAUGUAAUGGUCAAUUUAUCAGAAAGAUUUCCCC
ensembl:snoRNA small nucleolar RNA SNORA2/SNORA34 family